GACGAACGCUGGCGGCGUGCCUAACACAUGCAAGUCGAACGGAACUGUUUUGAAAGAUUUCUUCGGAAUGAAUUUGAUUUAGUUUAGUGGCGGACGGGUGAGUAACGCGUGAGUAACCUGCCUUCAAGAGGGGAAUAACAUUCUGAAAAGAAUACUAAUACCGCAUGACAUAUCGGAACCACAUGGUUUUGAUAUCAAAGAUUUUAUCGCUUGAAGAUGGACUCGCGUCCGAUUAGUUAGUUGGUGAGGUAACGGCUCACCAAGACCGCGAUCGGUAGCCGGACUGAGAGGUUGAGCGGCCACAUUGGGACUGAGACACGGCCCAGACUCCUACGGGAGGCAGCAGUGGGGGAUAUUGCGCAAUGGGGGCAACCCUGACGCAGCAACGCCGCGUGAAGGAUGAAGGUUUUCGGAUUGUAAACUUCUUUUAUUAAGGACGAAAAAUGACGGUACUUAAUGAAUAAGCUCCGGCUAACUACGUG
rnacentral:rRNA from 1 species